rnacentral:rRNA from 1 species
GACGAACGCUGGCGGCGUGCUUAACACAUGCAAGUCGAACGGGUCUGCCCUGUUUUUUGCGGGGUGGGUCAGUGGCGAACGGGUGAGUAACACGUGAGUAACCUGCCCCUCACUUCUGGAUAACCGCUUGAAAGGGUGGCUAAUACGGGGUGUUCUGGCUGUGCCGCAUGGUGUGGCUGGGAAAGAUUCACUUUUGUGGUGUUUUGGUGGGGGAUGGGCUCGCGGCCUAUCAGCUUGUUGGUGGGGUGAUGGCCUGCCAAGGCUUUGACGGGUAGCCGGCCUGAGAGGGUGGGCGGUCACACUGGGACUGAGAUACGGCCCAGACUCAUGCGGGGGGCAGCAGUGGGGGGUAUUGCACAAUGGGCGGAAGCCUGAUGCAGCGACGUCGCGUGAGGGAUGGAGGCCUUCGGGUUGUGAACCUCUUUCGCCGGUGAAGAAGGUCCUGCUCUUUGUGGUGGGGUUGACGGUAGCCGGGUUAUGAAGCGCCGGCUAACUACGUG